rnacentral:rRNA from 1 species
CACGGAGGGUGCAAGCGUUAUCCGGAUUCACUGGGUUUAAAGGGUGCGUAGGUGGCGCCGUAAGUCAGGUGUGAAAUUUCGGAGCUUAACUCCGAAACUGCAUUUGAUACUGCGGUGCUUGAGGACUGGAGAGGAGACUGGAAUUUACGGUGUAGCAGUGAAAUGCGUAGAGAUCGUAAGGAAGACCAGUGGCGAAGGCGGGUCUCUGGACAGUUCCUGACACUGAGGCACGAAGGCCAGGGGAGCAAACGGG